CGGUCACGGUCGCUUCUUUCAGCUAACACCUGCCCCACAUCAGACGCUUUGGUGCUUUCUGACGUUCGAGUUUGCAAACAUUGUUUCCACUUGGAGAAAUACAUUUUUCCAGUUCUCCAAAUCUUCAUGGUUGACGUUUAAGUGCUCACUAGUUCCCGAAGCCCCGAAUUGCUCAUCAGACUAUCAGGAGCUUUGGUUCCUUUCUCUGAAGAUGGGCUUGACUCCAGGGAGGAGAACUUAGAGCAACCUGAAGUUGUGCGCAUGUGCUGUAGAAAUUGCCAGCGCGCCCUAACUCUUGCUUUGGGGCUCACUUAUGUCACUUACUGUGUCCAACUCCUCCAACUUGAAACAGGGGGAUAUCACUCUUAGAGGGAACUCACCUAAAUCCCUCGUCUGGAUUAUAUAAAUGUUGUGUUAUCAUUUAAAAGCAAUCGAAAAGACACCGAUAACACCUGAAUACUAUGUUUCCAGGACGAGAUGUUAGCCAACCCUCUUGUCUUAAACUUCAAGAGAAAAUGCAGUGCACUGCAGAGAAAGCCCUUUUUAAAGUCCUGUGACCAGAUCCAAGCAGGGGACUUGCCUUCCUGGUACAAUUGAGCAUUUCAAAGCAGGAGGGAUUAGGGAACAGCCACAAGGCAGGCACACUGCCAUGGGCCUGAGCUUCCCAGGGUGAAAAACUUCUUCUGUUGGCCUAAGAGCACAAACAUCGCAGUCUUCACCAGGGGUAACUGAGAAAAUAACCUAGAAAGGCAUCCCUGGAAACCUACACCACCGGUUCGUUUUGUGCCAGUGCAGGUCAGAAGAGGGUAUUGGAUCCCCUGGAACUGGAGUUAUGGAUGAUUAUGGAUUAUGAGCUACCAUCAUCUUUCCUGUUCAAACAAAAUUCCGCCACCCACGAACUUUAGACCUGUCUAAGACGUGCCGGGAAAAGUCCCCAAAUUCGGAUCAAAGAAUGCUAUCUAAAAGAUAGUCAAGUGAAAAUUAACUCGACAUCUUUUUCAAAUCAAGCUAAAAUUUAACGUUUUCUAUGAACAAGUACACAUCUUAAAAAGUGAUGUGUUUACUCUGCAGCAGAUGAUGAAGUGCGAUGUCUUUCUGUCCCUCCGACAGGUACAAUAAAAAGCUGAACUCAUUAACACAACACAAAAAAAGAAGUGCCAUUGCUGUAGACUUCCUUCACACCCACACACUUGGACCUGUCACAGCCAGCUAGCUCCCACACUCUUUGCCCCACCUUGCUGCACCUGGAGAGGGACACCUUAGGGCACACAUGGGUCACAAAGAACUGUCCCUCAUUGGAGAGACUGCAGCGCUGGACUCAAAAGACAAGCUGCAAAAGUUCACAAACCAACUUCCAAGGGUUGAAAUAGUCUAAGCAAUAUACACAAAAAGAAACCCGGGUUGGGCUACUUCAAGUAGAGAAUCCAAUCGUGAAACGUGUCUUGACUUUUCCCAAGGAUGUCCUUAGUCACAGAUGUGUUCUCCCUGUGAACACAAACCAGGCUCUGUGCACCUUUCAUCAGUUCUGAUACACCCUCUCUCCUGUUUCCUCAGAAGAACCGGAGGACGGGAAGGAACAGUGUUCCUCCUCCGCUUAGCGUUCUUAUCUAAUAAAGGUGUUGGAUUUCCGUGUGCCGUAUCAGAGCUCGUGGCGUGUUCUCCAGAGGGCAGAGCAGGACGCUGUCAUCUUGUGUGCUUAAUGUUCACCGCCACCCUGUACUAUUUUGGAGCUCUUGACUCCCUCACAAUUCAAGGUGACAAAAAGGAAAUUGUUGCUUUAUUAAAACUAUUUACUUUUCCAGUUAAAGCAAAUACAAAAUGCUCAUAAAUAUAUAAAUAAAUCACAAGAACCUCUGAUAUGGUGUGCUUUUCUCUCAAGGCCACAAAAAGUAAGCCAGAAGAAUACAGCCAACACCCUCUGCUGUUGGCAGAUCCUAAACAUACAAACUAUUUAAUAUUCAACUGGAUUUAGGCGCAUUUUUUUUUUUCUUGAGUCCCCCUGUAACACAACUUUCAGUUUUACAGUUCCCAUCAUGGCUGUUAUGACCACCCUUUGCCACAAAAUAUCUGUCUGUCUUUGAAUCACACCACUGUUUUCUACUUCUCUGGUGUAUCUUUAGCAGUCCACAGAUAGUGAAACUUCACAUAUCUAAAUCCUUCACACUUGAACUUCUGGAUAUCCUCCCCACCCCACCCCACCCCCGUUAACAGAAGAGUGAUAAUCCACCUUUCCCAUAAGCCCCUGCUUCUUCUCUGCAGAGGUUAGAUCUGCAAUAACACAGUAGCCACCAGCCACGCACAACCCAUUUUAAGAUCUGAAUUAUAUACAUGUGCAAUUUGUGUUUCUAUGUUGAGAAUUUGACUGUCAGCAUAUUUGUAUAUUAGCAUA